rnacentral:rRNA from 1 species
ACGGAGGAUGCAAGCGUUAUCCGGAUUUAUUGGGUUUAAAGGGAGCGCAGACGGGGGAUUAAGUCAGCUGUGAAAGUUUGCGGCUCAACCGUAAAAUUGCAGUUGAUACUGGUUCUCUUGAGUGCAGUUGAGGCAGGCGGAAUUCGUGGUGUAGCGGUGAAAUGCUUAGAUAUCACGAAGAACCCCGAUUGCGAAGGCAGCUUGCUAAACUGUAACUGACGUUCAUGCUCGAAAGUGUGGGUAUCAAACAGG